UGCGGGACCGGCACUAACAUCUCCUCCAUUGGUUGGCAGGCGGGUACCGGAGACUGAAUUCUUUCUGAACUCUUGGAUUGCGGCGGAGGGUUCACAUCUGGCAGUUGAGGCAUGAAGAGAGAAUCACUCAGCUUUAGUGCUAUGGUCCUCUUGUCCCCUGCUCGUGAGGCAUCCCACAAUGUGAAUUUUACUAAGGUGUGGCAGAGACCAGUUCAUUAUAUGGAACGGAUCAUCAGUUUCCUUUGCUAUCUAAAACUGGUGGCGUAAAAAAGCAAAACACCUCUCGUAAGUGAAUGACAGCUUAUAACAGGGAUACAGGAGUGAGUAUUUAGUCACAUCCUUUGCUGCAGAUAGAAGUGACAAAUCUUGGGAAAUUGGCUACUACUACUUACAACUCUGCAGUAUCCAAGCAGUUUCAGG